rnacentral:rRNA from 1 species
CAGUCGAACGGCAGCACGUUGUAGCAAUACAAUGGUGGCGAGUGGCGCACGGGUGCGUAACGCGUAUGCAACCUACCUAUAACACGGGGAUAGCCUUUGGAAACGGAGAAUAAUACCCGAUGGUUUUAGAUUCUCGCAUGAGGGUUUAAAUAAAUGAUUUAAUUGGUUAUAGAUGGGCAUGCGUAGCAUUAGCUAGAUGGUGAGGUAACGGCUCACCAUGGCGAUGAUGCUUAGGGGGCCUGAGAGGGUUAUCCCCCACACUGGGACUGAGACACGGCCCAGACUCCUACGGGAGGCAGCAGUGAGGAAUAUUGGUCAAUGGAAGAGAUUCUGAACCAGCCAUGCCGCGUGCAGGAAGACGGCCCUAUGGGUUGUAAACUGCUUUUAUACUGGGGUAAAGUGAGAUAUUGAUAUCUUUUUGAAAGUACAGUAUGAAUAAGCACCGGCUAACUCCGUGCCAGCAGCCGCGGUAAUACGGAGGGUGCGAGCGUUAUCCGGAAUUAUUGGGUUUAAAGGGUCUGUAGGCGGGCUGUCAAGUCAGUGGUUAAAGGCAUCAGCUCAACUGAUGUACGCCAUAGGAACUGACGGUCUUGAAUUACGAUGGAGUAUGGAGAAUGUGUGGUGUAGCGGUGAAAUGCAUAGAUAUCACACAGAACACCGAUAGCGAAGGCACCGUACUAGUUGCUAAUUGACGCUGAUAGACGAAAGCGUGGGUAGCGAACAGGAUUAGAUACCCUGGUAGUCCACGCAGUAAACGAUGGAUACUGGGCUUUUUGUUGGGAUUAACCGAUGAG